UACAGAGGGGGCAAGCGUUAUUCGGAAUUAUUGGGCGUAAAGGGCGCGUAGGCGGCUUUGCAAGUGGCGGGUGAAAUCCCUCGGCUUAACCGAGGAACUGCCUGUCAAACUGCAUGGCUUGAGACCAGGAGAGGUGAGUGGAAUUCCCAGUGUAGCGGCGAAAUGCGUAGAUAUUGGGAGGAACACCAGUGGCGAAGGCGGCUCACUGGACUGGUACUGACGCUGAUGCGCGAAAGCGUGGGGAGCAAACAGG
rnacentral:rRNA from 1 species